rnacentral:lncRNA from 1 species
GGGAGGAAAGUCGUAUCCAAAAUCAAUAGUUCGGUGAGUGUUGUAUCUUGGGCGCAAGUCGGCAAUAAGUGGUUCUGUUCCAGUUUUGUCAACUCAAGAAUCAGCGGUAAACAAGUAAGCUAGCCCAGAGCAGGCGGAGGUGUUAUCGACCCCAACUCAACUAUCUUCAACUUAUGAUACCGCUGAAAACCCUUUUCACUUGAGCCCCUACUUAACUUACCCUCUCCGACAUGGCAUGUCUUUACUGUGGAAUAAGUAUGAUUAUAAUAAUUGCACUCGGGAAUCCCAAUUAUUCCUUCCAUCGGUAGCUACGUCCUUUCUUUCUCUACUAGUAGGUUUCUCUAUCUUUCUCUACUAGUAGGUUUCUCUACUAGGGUAGUAGUGGCAUCUGUCCC